rnacentral:rRNA from 1 species
GCGUUGUUCGGAUUAUUGGGCGUAAAGGGCGCGUAGGCGGGUAUUUAAGUCUGAUGUGAAAGCCAGGCUCAACCCUGGAAGUGCAUCUGAAACUGGGUUCUUGAGGACAGGAGAGGAAAGUGGAAUUCCACGUGUAGCGGUGAAAUGCGUAGAUAUGUGGAGGAACACCAGUGGCGAAGGCGCUUUCUGGACUGUACUGACGCUGAGGCGCGAAAGCGUGGGGAGCAAACAGGAUUAGAUACCCUGGUAGUCCACGCGGUAAACGAUGAGUGCUAGGUGUAGAGGGUAUCGACCCCUUCGUGCCGCAGUUAACGCAAUAAGCACUCCGCCUGGGGAGUACG